CUUUUCCCUAAAUAAUUGUUCUGCCUUCUCUCUAAAAGAUCCAAACACUGAACCGUUUAAAUUUUAAUUUGAAGGUGCCUAAACGAUCACGGUGGCAAGAGCUUCAUUUUGAACCGAACAAUUUCCUGUUCUGACCUGUUCUGUCAAGUUUCGCUCUGUGUGGAGGGUAUUGUUAGGGCAUCCACUGUGAAUUGUAUUGAGCAACCCAAAAGAAGAAGUUGAGUGGGAGUAGAUGGCGAGGAGGAUACUUUGGAAACAGCUCUUGAUGGGGAUGACAGUGCUGCAACUUAGAUUUGCUAGCUUUUAUUUCCAUGAACUCAUAUUAUUUUGAAGAACUUUAGUGCAUUUAAAGUUUUAAAUUCUCUGUAAUUUCCAGGGAGGAACUCUAAUACUCUAGUUUUCAAUUCCACACUAUUCUAAGGAUGACUGUAAUCCUAAUUACUCUUGACUGCUUUCCUAUAUUAUGCAUGAUGACGUCUUUAUUAUAUGUGUGCCUUUUUUAUAUAUUUUGUGACGUCACAUUUAUGGUAUCAGAGCAGUUUCUAUCCUUAGAGGAUCCUGUAGGGUAUGUGUGUGUCUUGCU